rnacentral:rRNA from 1 species
CACGGAGAGGUGCUUGCACCUUUCAGCGAGUGGCGAACGGGUGAGUAACACGUGGAUAACCUGCCUCAAGGCUGGGGAUAACAUUUGGAAACAGAUGCUAAUACCGAAUAAAACUUAGUAUCGCAUGAUAUAAAGUUAAAAGGCGCUACGGCGUCACCUAGAGAUGGAUCCGCGGUGCAUUAGUUAGUUGGUGGGGUAAAGGCUUACCAAGACAAUGAUGCAUAGCCGAGUUGAGAGACUGAUCGGCCACAUUGGGACUGAGACACGGCCCAAACUCCUACGGGAGGCUGCAGUAGGGAAUCUUCCACAAUGGGCGCAAGCCUGAUGGAGCAACGCCGCGUGUGUGAUGAAGGCUUUCGGGUCGUAAAGCACUGUUGUAUGGGAAGAAAUGCUAAAAUAGGGAAUGAUUUUAGUUUGACGGUACCAUACCAGAAAGGGACGGCUAAAUACGUGCCAGCAGCCGCGGUAAUACGUAUGUCCCGAGCGUUAUCCGGAUUUAUUGGGCGUAAAGCGAGCGCAGACGGUUGAUUAAGUCUGAUGUGAAAGCCCGGAGCUCAACUCCGGAAUGGCAUUGGAAACUGGUUAACUUGAGUGUUGUAGAGGUAAGUGGAACUCCAUGUGUAGCGGUGAAUGGCGUAAAUAAAAAA